rnacentral:lncRNA from 1 species
CUGUGAAGACGGAGGAGCACCACCGCUGUUGAAGACCAUCUCAUCUGAUCGGCUAUUCCGACCUCGAUCUUUCCAUCUCCGAUUUCGGUUUUCUCGGCUAAGCGCCUAUUGCGUGGAGGGUCGUCGUUGCCGGCGGCCAUUUAAGGUCGUUUCUGGCCGGCGGCGGCUAUUCCGAGGAAGCCCGUUGUUGCCAGUGGCUAUUUGAGGCUGUUUCUGGCGGCGGCGGAUAUUUCGGGGAAGCCCGUUGUUGUCGGCGGCCGGUUUGAGUCUGUUUCUGGCGGAGUCGGCCUUCAGAUUUCUCGAAGAUUGCUGAAAUAAGGAGUCAUUUGUUGACAUGGAAGGAGUUGUUAUGGUUUCUCUUGAGGCUAUUAAAGGCGCCCCAGCAGUUACUCCUAAAUCAAGAACUUGUCUGGCAUUGGAUAGAAUGAAGGAAUUAAUGCUGGAUUAGUUGAUCUCACAACAUUGCAAAACUUGUUAAAUUCAAGUAGUGACGAAGAUUCACCAUGAGGCUGCAACUGUGCUUCCUAUAUAUGUUGAGGAUCCUGCCAGAAGUGAAGUUGAAAUUGAGAUGGCUUUGGAUGUAUAAUGUUAGGAUUUUGAAUUUAGUAUUCAGAAAUAUUAACUUUUAUAGUAGAUUUUAGCAACUGAAGAAGCAUGGUCCGUGCGGGUCAGUACUUCUACGGUGAUGAACGAUCACACCUCGUCCUCUCCACUUCAUCCUAACCUGUAAACAAGAAGAGAGAAGCGUGGGCAAUGUAGAGACUACCGGUAGAGGAAGAAUCCCCUAUUUCCAGCUACAAAAGUGAUGCCCUAUAUCUCAUGCCCUAAUAAGGAGGUGGAGGCCUCCUUAUAUAGGAGAUAUGGGAAAAACCCUAACCUCAAUGGGCCAAGCCCAGUUAGGGGUUGUCUCUACGAGCCCACAGCCUAGUGUAGCAUAAACUACAACGCGCUGGGCUUCGCGGGUUAGUACACAAUAAUAACAAUAAUAAU